GGCCAGUUAGCUCAGUGGUUUGAGCGCGGUGCUGGCAACAAAAACCAACACCGAGGUCACGGGUUCAAUUCCCGCUCGGUCCG
rnacentral:tRNA from 1 species